rnacentral:rRNA from 8 species
UUAAGUUAAUAAGGGCGCACGGUGGAUGCCUUGGCACUAGAAGCCGAUGAAGGACGUGACUAACGACGAAAUGCUUUGGGGAGCUGUAAGUGAGCAAUGAUCCAGAGAUGUCCGAAUGGGGGAACCCGGCAGGUAAUGCCUGUCACUCAUUACUGUUAAGGUAAUGUAGAGGAAGACGCAGUGAACUGAAACAUCUAAGUAGCUGUAGGAAGAGAAAGCAAAAGCGAUUGCCUUAGUAGCGGCGAGCGAAACGGCAAGAGGGCAAACCGAAGAGUUUACUCUUCGGGGUUGUAGGACUGCAACGUGGACUUAAAGAUUAUAGAAGAACUACCUGGGAAGGUAGGCCAAAGAGAGUAAUAGCCUCGUAUUCGAAAUAGUCUUUAUACCUAGCAGUAUCCUGAGUACGGCGAGACACGAGAAAUCUCGUCGGAAUCUGGGAGGACCAUCUCCCAACCCUAAAUACUCUCUAGUGACCGAUAGUGAACCAGUACCGUGAGGGAAAGGUGAAAAGCACCCCGGGAGGGGAGUGAAAUAGAACCUGAAACCGUGUGCCUACAACAAGUUCGAGCCCGUUAAUGGGUGAGAGCGUGCCUUUUGUAGAAUGAACCGGCGAGUUACGAUAUGAUGCGAGGUUAAGUUGAAGAGACGGAGCCGUAGGGAAACCGAGUCUUAAUAGGGCGCAUUAGUAUCAUGUCGUAGACCCGAAACCAUGUGACCUACCCAUGAGCAGGUUGAAGGUGAGGUAAAACUCACUGGAGGACCGAACCAGGGCACGUUGAAAAGUGCUUGGAUGACUUGUGGGUAGCGGAGAAAUUCCAAACGAACUUGGAGAUAGCUGGUUCUCUCCGAAAUAGCUUUAGGGCUAGCGUCGAUGUUAAGUCUCUUGGAGGUAGAGCACUGUUUGGGUGAGGGGUCCAUCCCGGAUUACCAAUCUCAGAUAAACUCCGAAUGCCAAUGAGAUAUAAUCGGCAGUCAGACUGCGAGUGCUAAGAUCCGUAGUCGAAAGGGAAACAGCCCAGACCACCAGCUAAGGUCCCAAAAUAUAUGUUAAGUGGAAAAGGAUGUGGGGUUGCACAGACAACUAGGAUGUUAGCUUAGAAGCAGCUAUUCAUUCAAAGAGUGCGUAAUAGCUCACUAGUCGAGUGACCCUGCGCCGAAAAUGUACCGGGGCUAAAACAUAUUACCGAAGCUGUGGAUACCUUUAUAGGUAUGGUAGGAGAGCGUUCUAUGUGCGAAGAAGGUGUACCGUGAGGAGUGCUGGAGCGCAUAGAAGUGAGAAUGCCGGUAUGAGUAGCGAAAGACAGGUGAGAAUCCUGUCCACCGUAAGACUAAGGUUUCCAGGGGAAGGCUCGUCCGCCCUGGGUUAGUCGGGACCUAAGGAGAGACCGAAAGGUGUAUCCGAUGGACAACAGGUUGAUAUUCCUGUACUAGAGUAUAUAGUGAUGGAGGGACGCAGUAGGCUAACUAAACCAGACGAUUGGAAGUGUCUGGCCAAGCAGUGAGGUGUGAUAUGAGUCAAAUGCUUAUAUCUUUAACAUUGAGCUGUGAUGGGGAGCGAAGUUUAGUAGCGAAGUUAGUGAUGUCACACUGCCGAGAAAAGCUUCUAGCGUUAAUUAUACUCUACCCGUACCGCAAACCGACACAGGUAGUCGAGGCGAGUAGCCUCAGGUGAGCGAGAGAACUCUCGUUAAGGAACUCGGCAAAAUGGCCCCGUAACUUCGGGAGAAGGGGCGCUGACUGAUGGUCAGCCGCAGUGAAUAGGCCCAAGCAACUGUUUAUCAAAAACACAGCUCUCUGCUAAAUCGUAAGAUGAUGUAUAGGGGGUGACGCCUGCCCGGUGCUGGAAGGUUAAGAGGAGUGCUUAGCGUAAGCGAAGGCAUGAAUUGAAGCCCCAGUAAACGGCGGCCGUAACUAUAACGGUCCUAAGGUAGCGAAAUUCCUUGUCGGGUAAGUUCCGACCCGCACGAAAGGCGUAAUGAUUUGGGCACUGUCUCAACGAGAGACUCGGUGAAAUUUUAGUACCUGUGAAGAUGCAGGUUACCCGCGACAGGACGGAAAGACCCCAUGGAGCUUUACUGCAGUUUGAUAUUGAGUAUCUGUACCACAUGUACAGGAUAGGUAGGAGCCUAUGACCUCGGGACGCCAGUUUCGAGUGAGGCGUUGUUGGGAUACUACCCUUGUGUUAUGGCUACUCUAACCCAGAUAGGUUAUCCCUAUCGGAGACAGUGUCUGACGGGCAGUUUGACUGGGGCGGUCGCCUCCUAAAAGGUAACGGAGGCGCCCAAAGGUUCCCUCAGAAUGGUUGGAAAUCAUUCGCAGAGUGUAAAGGUAUAAGGGAGCUUGACUGCGAGAGCUACAACUCGAGCAGGGACGAAAGUCGGGCUUAGUGAUCCGGUGGUUCCGUAUGGAAGGGCCAUCGCUCAACGGAUAAAAGCUACCCUGGGGAUAACAGGCUUAUCUCCCCCAAGAGUUCACAUCGACGGGGAGGUUUGGCACCUCGAUGUCGGCUCGUCGCAUCCUGGGGCUGUAGUCGGUCCCAAGGGUUGGGCUGUUCGCCCAUUAAAGCGGCACGCGAGCUGGGUUCAGAACGUCGUGAGACAGUUCGGUCCCUAUCCGUCGCGGGCGUAGGAAAUUUGAGAGGAUCUGCUCCUAGUACGAGAGGACCAGAGUGGACUUACCGCUGGUGUACCAGUUGUUCUGCCAAGAGCAUCGCUGGGUAGCUAUGUAGGGAAGGGAUAAACGCUGAAAGCAUCUAAGUGUGAAGCCCACCUCAAGAUGAGAUUUCCCAUGAUUUUAUAUCAGUAAGAGCCCUGAGAGAUGAUCAGGUUGAUAGGUUAGAAGUGGAAGUGUGGUGACACAUGUAGCGGACUAAUACUAAUAGCUCGAGGACUUAUCCAA